rnacentral:rRNA from 1 species
CGGGUUCUUACUUUCUUGCGGAAGCGAAUGCCGGCCGAGUGCCACUUCACUGUGGUGCGAAGCGAACUACGGAGUUUCUACGCUCCUUAAGGCACGUCCGCAGAAGUUACUGUGAGUAAAGCAGAGUGCUCAAAGCACCCAACUCGCUUGGGAGAAUGUUAAAGCAUAGAAUAACAAGGGAUCGACCACGUUGUGGAGUCUUAUUGUUGGUUUUCAAGCCGCCGUGCGACAAUUUAGAGCAGGUGUCUUGUGUGGAUGGGCGCAGUCCGCAAGGGCUCGCUCGCUGCAUCUAAGCCCUGCUCAUUGGGAUCAAUAGGAGCGCGGGGAGCGAUCAGUACUCCCGGGUGAGAGGUGAAAUUCAUAGACCCCGGGAAGACUAACAUCAGCGAAAGCCGUUCGCUAUCGCGCUUUCAUUAAUCAAGAACGAGAGAAAGGGGAUCGAAGAUGAUCAGAUACCGUCGUAGUCCUUUCCGUAAAUGAUGCAGACUAGGGAUCGGCCGCA